UAUGAUAUUUCUAUAAGGGCAGAUCGUAAUUUUAAAGACAAUUUGAUGAAAGAAAAUUCAUGGAGAGAGAUAUCCUUGGCAGUGAACUUACCAGUUUCUGAUUGUCAAAAUCGAUGGCUGAGGCUGCGUGAACGAUUUGGAAAAGAGAAACGCCAACGAGAAUUAGAUUCAAGAAGUGGCAGUGGAGUUUGUCGACGAGCUGUUUACGCAUAUUAUGAAAAUAUGUUAUUUCUAAAUGAACAUAUUAAGAAAAGAAAAUCCUAUACAAAUUUGUGGAUCAUCUUUCAUUUCUUGAAGUAGAUGAUAAAAAUCUCCCAGAUGAGGACGCAUACAAUUAAUUGGUCGGACCCACCAUUGUCGAUUCUGCCACCUUCGUGAUCUCUUCCUUCGUAAUAAAAAUUCAGCACAUAGUAGAAUCAUAAUUGCGAGCAUGAGCAGCGGCACAGGUUACGGUGGCGGCGGCGGCGCUGGCAGCGACCAUGGUAGCGAGGACAGCAGCUGCGCAAGCGUCCUCGUCGUGCCUAUUGACACCGACAGCGACCGCGAUCGCAGAUUAAGCUCGUGGACGAGCUGGUAUUAUAGCUGUAACAGUGGCAGUAGCAGCAGCAGCAGUACCAGCAGCAGCAGAAGCUCGCCGGACAAUCUCCCCAGCAUCAGCGCAGCCGACAAUCUCUCCGGCACCAGCACAGACGACACACGGUUACCGUGUGUUAGCUGUGUAACGGGUUAGGAUUUUUUGAUAGCAAAACCAUGAGUGAAGAAGCGCGGCGGAUUCGGGCGGCGGCUGAAGCAGCCAUGAAUGAAAUGGAUAUAAAUAUCCACGACUUAUUUCUGAUUUCCGGAUUUCUAGAUCUCAAUCUAUUAGAUUUUUUCGUAUGGAGUGUUAUCAAAGAAAGUCUUGGCGUAUGAAUAAGAUAAUAUCAUACAAACAUCUGUUAAAAUUAUCUGUAAAAAUCAUUUAAAUAUAUUUAAUGCAUCUGUUAGCCCGAAAUAAUCAACUCCUUGAAAAAGUACGAUGUAAUUUAAUUGAAAGAUCAACUUGUCUUAACAAUUGUAGAUGUUACAUAAAAGCGUGAGUACAAGCAAAUAUAUUAAAAGCGAUUGAUAUGAAUGGCUCAGUUUCUUUGGGUUUGACGACAUAGAUAAAUAUGCGCUCGCACAUAUAUUUAUAAACACAAAUGAAAAUACACGCAACACAAAGACCUCCGAUUAUCUUCAGCUUCCUAUUCGAGCAACUUCGGCCAUCAAUAACAUAAUGACAAAUUGACAUUCGUCGAAUUAUUGAUAAUUGAUUCGAAAAUUUCGGAAAUUAUUAAAGAGAAUGAGAUAAAAUACGGCUACAGACAAAAAUCUA